rnacentral:rRNA from 1 species
ACGGGUGAGUAAUACAUCGGAACGUAUCCUGGAGUGGGGGAUAGCCCGGCGAAAGCCGGAUUAAUACCGCAUACGCUCUGAGGAGGAAAGCGGGGGACCUUCGGGCCUCGCGCUCAAGGGGCGGCCGAUGGCGGAUUAGGUAGUUGGUGGGGUAAAGGCCUACCAAGCCGACGAUCCGUAGCUGGUCUGAGAGGACGACCAGCCACACUGGGACUGAGACACGGCCCAGACUCCUACGGGAGGCAGCAGUGGGGAAUUUUGGACAAUGGGGGCAACCCUGAUCCAGCAAUGCCGCGUGUGUGAAGAAGGCCUUCGGGUUGUAAAGCACUUUUGUCCGGAAAGAAAUCAUCGGGGCCAAUACCCCUGGUGGAUGACGGUACCGGAAGAAUAAGCACCGGCUAACUACGUGCCAGCAGCCGCGGUAAUACGUAGGGUGCGAGCGUUAAUCGGAAUUACUGGGCGUAAAGCGUGCGCAGGCGGUGCUGUAAGACCGAUGUGAAAUCCCCGGGCUUAACCUGGGAACUGCAUUGGUGACCGCAGCGCUGGAGUAUGGCAGAGGGGGGUGGAAUUCCACGU